CCAAGUGUCAAGAAGAACCAGUGUAGACAAUAUCAUGAUUUGUAGAAUCUAUGUUGAUACAUCGCUUUCUGGCUUGGUUUAUCUAUGCUAAUAAUGUCACCUUCAAAUAUUACAAAGCAAGACACGUUUAUUUUUUUUUUUAAAGAUUUAUUUUAAUUAUACAAUGAAGUUUACAAAAAAUAAAUUAAAAAAAAAAUACAUGGAAAAGACAUAGACAAGAAUUUAAGUUUGGAAAAAAGUUAUCCGAAAAUUUAUAGUUUCUACAUUUGUUUUUUUUUUUUAAACGAACUAAGUUUUUCCUUACAGCUUUUUGGGGAAACCAUAUCUAAGGGAGAGCAGCUAAGCGAAUAAACAAAGGAAACGGACUGAGUGGGAUUUUAUCUCAA